rnacentral:rRNA from 1 species
AUUGAACGCUGGCGGCAUGCCUUACACAUGCAAGUCGAACGGUAACAGGUUAAGCUGACGAGUGGCGAACGGGUGAGUAAUGUAUCGGAACGUGCCCAGUCGUGGGGGAUAACUGCUCGAAAGAGCAGCUAAUACCGCAUACGACCUGAGGGUGAAAGCGGGGGAUCGCAAGACCUCGCGCGAUUGGAGCGGCCGAUAUCAGAUUAGGUAGUUGGUGAGUUAAAGGCUCACCAAGCCGACGAUCUGUAGCUGGUCUGAGAGGACGACCAGCCACACUGGGACUGAGACACGGCCCAGACUCCUACGGGAGGCAGCAGUGGGGAAUUUUGGACAAUGGGCGCAAGCCUGAUCCAGCCAUGCCGCGUGCGGGAAGAAGGCCUUCGGGUUGUAAACCGCUUUUGUCAGGGAAGAAAAGGUUCUGGCUAAUACCUGGGACUCUUGACGGUGCCUGAAGAAUAAGCACCGGCUAACUACGUG